GCAGGCCAAGGGUGAAAUGAUACCUUUUCGGUUGACACCCGGUGAGGAACAUCCUGGAAGGAGCGGAACUACAUCCGUAGUGCUGUUAGUUGAUCUUGGUCAAAACAGUUGCUCUGGUUCCUUGCAAGUUACCCAUUUUCUUACCUCCACGUUGGCUUGGUUUCGUCAUCAUGAUGACAACACGUGACCUUGCUGGUGGCCUGUGGAAACGAACUCGUAAACCUUUGACCAGCGAGGGUCAGAGUCGAGACGGCCAAAAGAAAGGGAUGCGCAAUGUGGGAAGGGAAGAUUGUAGACGGUAUUGUUUUGAUUCACAGCAUGUUGAGUUAACUGUUGUGGAUGUACCUGAUACAUCGCAAUACGGGGUUUCUCUUCUUUCCACUUUCAGCUACUAUCUAUCUUCUAUUUCUUUAUUAUGUAUUACUGAUUUUCUAAUUUGGCUUCUGUUUACUAUCCACCAUUUAUUUUGAUUGCAUGAUCCUUUGUUUCUCUUAUUUUCUUAUACUAAUGCAUCUUUUUGUUUUGUUUUUGUUUGUUUUCAUUUUCAUGUCGUGUCUGGGCCUACGGUUGGAGAACGAUUGCACCACGACAACCACUUCGGAGUGAUAUUAUCACACUGGAGACAACAGCAACAACAUCAGAAACCCUGAUGUCACUCAGGUUCCCGCAAAGCAUGGACUACAUUAUAAAGCGGCAAUGUGGGAAAGGGAAGUAAUUUGUGAUUGUAGAAGGUAUUGUUUUGAUUCACAGCAUGUUGAACGAACUGUUGUGGAUGUACCUAGAACAUCGCAACUCGGAGUAUCUCUUCUUAUUAUCUCCAACUACUUUAGUUCUGUUUCACUUAUCUUUCAAGUCUCCUCUACUCAA